GACGAACGCUGGCGGCGUGCCUAAUACAUGCAAGUCGAGCGAGCGGAACUAACAGAUUUACUUCGGUAAUGACGUUAGGAAAGCGAGCGGCGGAUGGGUGAGUAACACGUGGGGGACCUGCCCCAUAGUCUGGGAUACCACUUGGAAACAGGUGCUAAUACCGGAUAAGAAAGCAGAUCGCAUGAUCAGCUUUUAAAAGGCGGCGUAAGCUGUCGCUAUGGGAUGGCCCCGCGGUGCAUUAGCUAGUUGGUAAGGUAAAGGCUUACCAAGGCGAUGAUGCAUAGCCGAGUUGAGAGACUGAUCGGCCACAUUGGGACUGAGACACGGCCCAAACUCCUACGGGAGGCAGCAGUAGGGAAUCUUCCACAAUGGACGCAAGUCUGAUGGAGCAACGCCGCGUGAGUGAAGAAGGUUUUCGGAUCGUAAAGCUCUGUUGUUGGUGAAGAAGGAUAGAGGUAGUAACUGGCCUUUAUUUGACGGUAAUCAACCAGAAAGUCACGGCUAACUACGUGCCAGCAGCCGCGGUAAUACGUAGGUGGCAAGCGUUGUCCGGAUUUAUUGGGCGUAAAGCGAGCGCAGGCGGAAGAAUAAGUCUGAUGUGAAAGCCCUCGGCUUAACCGAGGAACUGCAUCGGAAACUGUUUUUCUUGAGUGCAGAAGAGGAGAGUGGAACUCCAUGUGUAGCGGUGGAAUGCGUAGAUAUAUGGAAGAACACCAGUGGCGAAGGCGGCUCUCUGGUCUGCAACUGACGCUGAGGCUCGAAAGCAUGGGUAGCGAACAGGAUUAGAUACCCUGGUAGUCCAUGCCGUAAACGAUGAGUGCUAAGUGUUGGGAGGUUUCCGCCUCUCAGUGCUGCAGCUAACGCAUUAAGCACUCCGCCUGGGGAGUACGACCGCAAGGUUGAAACUCAAAGGAAUUGACGGGGGCCCGCACAAGCGGUGGAGCAUGUGGUUUAAUUCGAAGCAACGCGAAGAACCUUACCAGGUCUUGACAUCUAGUGCCAUUUGUAGAGAUACAAAGUUCCCUUCGGGGACGCUAAGACAGGUGGUGCAUGGCUGUCGUCAGCUCGUGUCGUGAGAUGUUGGGUUAAGUCCCGCAACGAGCGCAACCCUCGUUAUUAGUUGCCAGCAUUAAGUUGGGCACUCUAAUGAGACUGCCGGUGACAAACCGGAGGAAGGUGGGGAUGACGUCAAGUCAUCAUGCCCCUUAUGACCUGGGCUACACACGUGCUACAAUGGGCAGUACAACGAGAAGCGAGCCUGCGAAGGCAAGCGAAUCUCUGAAAGCUGUUUUCAGUUCGGACUGCAGUCUGCAACUCGACUGCACGAAGCUGGAAUCGCUAGUAAUCGCGGAUCAGCACGCCGCGGUGAAUACGUUCCCGGGCCU
rnacentral:rRNA from 1 species